GUGAGGAAUUUUGCGCAAUGGCCGCAAGGCUGACGCAGCAACGCCGCGUGGGUGAUGAAGGCCUUCGGGUCGUAAAGCCCUGUCAGGUGGGAAGAACAGCACCUUCUCGAAUAGGGGGGGUGUUUGACGGUACCACCAGAGGAAGCACCGGCUAACUCCGUGCCAGCAGCCGCGGUAAUACGGAGGGUGCGAGCGUUAUUCGGAAUUACUGGGCGUAAAGCGCGUGCAGGCGGGAAGGUAAGUCUGAUGUGAAAGCCCCGGGCUCAACCCGGGAAGUGCAUUGGAAACUGCUUUUCUUGAGUACUGGAGAGGAAGGGGGAAUUCCCGGUGUAGAGGUGAAAUUCGUAGAGAUCGGGAGGAAUACCAGUGGCGAAGGCGCCCUUCUGGACGGUUACUGACGCUGAGACGCGAAAGCGUGGGGAGCAAACAGGAUUAGAAACCCCUGUAGUCC
rnacentral:rRNA from 1 species